rnacentral:rRNA from 1 species
AUGAACGCUGGCGGCGUGUCUAAGGCAUGCAAGUCGUAAGUGGUAGCAAUACCAACUUGGCAAACGGGAGAGGAACACAUUGGCAACAUACCUUGAGGUCGAGAAUAAUCCCGCGAAAGCGGGAAUAAUACUCGAUGGGAGCGGGGGGACAAAAGUCAUUCCCGCUUAAAUUCGCCGCAAGGCGAAGCCUUAAGAGUGGCCUAUGUCCUAUCAGCUUGUUGGUGAGGUAACGGCUCACCAAGGCUAUGACGGGUACCGGGUGUGAGAGCAUGACCCGGCUCACUGGGACUGAGACACUGCCCAGACUCCUACGGGAGGCUGCAGUCAAGAAUAUUCGUCAAUGGGCGAAAGCCUGAACGAGCGACGCCGCGUGUAUGAUGAAGCCCUUCGGGGCGUAAAGUACUUUUAACUGGGAAGAACCAAUGACGGUACCAGUUGAAUAAGGGGCUGCUAACUUCGU